GUAUCAUUAGAAAUGUUUAGCCCAGCCGGCUCAGAAAACCGCUGCGACCGCUGCCAUAUUAACUACAAUUUAUAUUUACCAGCUUUUGCUCUGCUGUUGUUUUGUGCGAAUAUUGAUCGUAGUUCUCAAAAUACUCAGAACAGCAUGAAAAUCACCAUCAUUUCUCGAAUUGACAAACCAAGUGAAAACCGAGGUGAAAACUUUUCUCUUCCUGCGGCUUCUGAAGAGACAACCGAAAAUCAAGCGGAUUGAGUCGGAACCAUAUCAAGCGGAUUGAGCCCAAGAUCAGUUCUACCAGAAAACAGCAGCACAGCAGUCCAAUACAUUUUCGAUUUAGCAGCAGCAGCUUACUCACCAUGCAAAUCACAUCAGCACCCGGAAAUCUUCGCCCGUUCCCAUCACCCGUCCAUCUCACCAUAUUUAACAUUGCAUGUAAUUUACUUGUGUGAUUAUUAUGAAUAAAGUAAAAUUUAAUAUCUCGCAA